rnacentral:rRNA from 1 species
UACCAUGGUUUUAACGGGUAACGGGGAAUUAGGGUUCGAUUCCGGAGAGGGAGCCUGAGAAACGGCUACCACAUCCAAGGAAGGCAGCAGGCGCGCAAAUUACCCAAUCCCGACACGGGGAGGUAGUGACAAUAGAUAACAAUAUGGGGCUCUUACGAGUCUUGUAAUUGGAAUGAGUACAAUUUAAAUCUCUUAACGAGGAACAAUUGGAGGGCAAGUCUGGUGCCAGCAGCCGCGGUAAUUCCAGCUCCAAUAGCGUAUAUUAAAGUUGUUGCAGUUAAAAAGCUCGUAGUUGAAUUUCGGGAUUUAUCCGUCGGUCGGGCUUUUGGGUCUGUACUGGCGUGAUGGAUUCCUACCUUCUGAAUAACUGGCAUGUCAUUAAUUUGGUGCGCCGGGGAAGCAGGACUGUUACCUUGAAAAAAUUAGAGUGCUUAAAGCAGGCUUAUGCCUGAAUACAUUAGCAUGGAAUAAUGAAAUAGGACGGCAUGGUUCUAUUUUGUUGGUUUCUAGGAUCACCGUAAUGAUUAAUAGGGAUAGUUGGGGGCAUUAGUAUUCAAUUGUCAGAGGUGAAAUUCUUGGAUUUAUUGAAGACUAACUUCUGCGAAAGCAUUUGCCAAGGAUGUUUUCAUUAAUCAAGAACGAAAGUUAGGGGAUCGAAGACGAUCAGAUACCGUCGUAGUCUUAACCAUAAACUAUGCCGACUAGGGAUCGGAUGAUGUUAAUUUUUUAAUGACUCAUUCGGCGCCUUACGGGAAACCAAAGUGUUU